UACGUAGGGGGCGAGCGUUGUCCGGAAUCAUUGGGCGUAAAGAGCGUGUAGGUGGCUUGGAAAGUCUUACGUGAAAGCCUGCGGCUCAACCGCAGAAGUGCGUGGGAAACUUCCUCGCUAGAGUCCGGAAGAGGAGAGCGGAAUUCCUGGUGUAGCGGUGGAAUGCGCAGAUAUCAGGAGGAACACCCGUGGCGAAGGCGGCUCUCUGGGACGGUACUGACACUGAGACGCGAAAGCGUGGGAGCGAACAGG
rnacentral:rRNA from 1 species